UCUAACCUAAGAGUUUGAUCCUGGCUCAGAACGAACGCUGGCGGCAUGCUUAACACAUGCAAGUCGAACGAGAUCUUCGGAUCUAGUGGCGCACGGGUGAUUAA
rnacentral:rRNA from 2 species